CGAAUAGAGACCUUUGUUGUUUCUUUGAAUAUUUAAUUGAGUAUAUUUGAAGCUAGUUAUAACCAGGUUAGAAGUGACAAAGGACCAAUCCCAAACAGAUGACCACACCUCCACAUUCCCUUUAUAAUUACAGAGGGAGAUAAUGACUCUAAGCAGCCUGUGUAGUGCACUACAUUCCCCUUACAGCUCUAUUCAGGACUCGGCCAUUAAAAAGCUGCAGGUUUAGAGUCAGGAAUCUGGGGAGCAGAAUGACAUGUAGGCUGUUCACUUUAAACAAAAUGAUAAGCAGAUCCAAUCAUAUCCCUUUCCCCCUGAUAUUACUACAGCUGCGAAGUUUGACUUGAUGUUCGGCUGAAUGGAGACAGAUAAUUUAGGGGUUGAAGGAGUUGACAGAAAUCCAUUUUUGGGCUUUGGGAAGUCCUGUCCUGAUGUGUGGCCUUAUUGCUCUGCUCUCAGUGCUGCAAGCUGGUCUGAAAAGUCUCAUUUUUUUCUCUCUCAGCUUCUCUAAACUUUUCUCCAUCACCUACAGGACCUCAGCCUUGGAAAAGCCCACA